UAUCUCGAAGUUAUCAGUGAAGAUGUACUCGCUCUUGAGACAUGAAGUGAUUUAUAUGUUAAAUAGUCUCUAUUCAAUAUUCCGAAACGUUGGACGACAGCGAGUUUACAGUCAAAAUGUUCAAAGUAAUUGUAUUGAUUUUCCUGCUGGUUAGGGUUAACAUUUCGCAAGUCCAGGUGGAGAACAUUAACUGCGCAAAUGGUGCAAACGAAGGCGUAUUCUUUCCGCAUCCAGAAUCUUGCCAGAGCUACCUGACGUGCUUUUUGGGGCAGCUGAUUGAGGGACAAUGUGGAUAUGGAUUAUUCUUCGAUUUGGAGCGACAAAUUUGUGAAGCUGAAUCACGCGUCCGCUGUGUCAUGCCUUCCAAGAGCGCAAAAUAAGAUUCCGUGGAGAUGGUUAUCUAAUAUUUAGCAUGGAGUAUGUUUUGAUAAGAGCCUGUUUUUUUUUCAAUUAUAUAAGUAUAAACAUUACCAGUUGUAAAAUAAAUAAGUGUUGCAUAUAUUUCAA